GUGAGAAGCCGUACUCAUGCACGGACUGCGGGAGACGGUUCGGCCAGGCUGAUGUCCUGAAGCGACACCGUAUGGUUCACACGGGGGAGAAACCAUACUCCUGCGCCCUGUGUAGGAGGAGGUUUGCUCAGCCCGCCACUUUGAAGUACCACCUCCGGACCCACGUUGGCGAGAACCGGGCCGGGCAGAACCAGGCAGGAGGGUCUCAGUGCUGCCCCGUGUGUGGACGGGAUGUCCCGACAGAGAAAGCCCUGAGAGGACACCUGGGGGCUCACAUGGACGGGGACGUAUGUCACACUGAGGAAGAGGAGGAGGUUGGGGGACUGAUUAAUUCAGAUGGAGAGGAUGUCAGCUGGGAUCCUUCUGAUCUGAGGGAGGGAACCGUUCUGUCUUCUGGCAUUGGAGAACCCACAGCAUCACACAUUAAGGCUCCAGGGGUCCUGCCCAAACCCAAAUCAACACCCCGGUUUCUGAGUUCUGACCAAAGAGCGGCCUUCCUUCAGGAGCUGGGGGGGCACAUUAAAAUCGUAGAAGUGGAGGAGGAGUUGAGUCAAACUGUUAUGGUGACAGUCAAAGAGGAGGAAGAAGAGGAAGAUGUCAGUGGAGUCAUUCAAUCUUCAGUACAACAAGAGGACAGGGAGGCUGUUGAACUUAGACAAAGUCUCAACCGCUGUUCCGACUGAGGAGAAUCCUGGUUACCAGGAGAAUUGUACAGCUGAUGGCCUUGACACCAACCACAACACAAGCUUUUCUGCUUAAAAAGGACCUGCAUGAAGCCAUUGGUUGUUAAAUAAUACUGUUUCAUUAUACCAUUAGUUACUGUACUCUAUUGCACAUAUUUAUGUUUUACAAAUGGAUCCAAAAUAGCACAUUGCUGUAACUUGAAGCUCAUGGUGCUAUGAAAUGUACCUUCUCCACAAGGAAUUUGAUGGAAUAAAUCAACACUGCACAAACCAGCUGCUUUGCAUUAUUUUCAACACUCCAGUACGGUAGGUGGCGGUAACGUGUAUUUUACGUUAGUUGGCAAACCGUAAAAACGCGGUUAGUUGGGUUGGUC
rnacentral:lncRNA from 1 species